CGAUGACGGAUUCUCUUUCCUUUGAGUCUAUCCUUGAUAUGAUCACUUUAACCGGUGACAUAUAUUCUCAUCUUUGGUCUUCUGCCUAGUAACCGGUAGUUGUAAAUCCUAUUUCUGCAGUUUUUCCCCCAGGAAGUCUAUUCUUACCUAGUAACUGGUAAUUAAUGCACUUCCUGGCGGCCCUCAAUGAGUCAUCCUUGAUAUGUUUACCCUAACCGGUAACGGGUGUCCUCUCUGAUCAUAUUUUAUUAUCUCCUUACCCAGUAAUAGGUAGUAGAUAAUAGAAUUCUUCUCCUCCUGUGUUGAAGUUUAUUGCUUCCCCAGAUGAGUUGAGUGCGUAUUUCCUUGGUGAAAUCGCUUUUCCUACAUGAUUCGAGUAUUUCAGUUUUAUUCUGAUCUACCUGUUUCCCCUACAGACGUCUUUUGUUUCUCCGACUGAGUCUUUCCAUUUUCAUGGAAUUCCUCUAGCCUCCCAACAGUUUUUAAGUCGUAGCCUGGCUUACUCACAACCUCUUUUAUCCCCUUAGAGUCUCUUCUCCCCAGUGAGUUUUUCCUUAUGGAAUGCAUCAUGCUCCUGCGGACCUUCGGUCUCUCUGACUUCUUUUCCUCUAUGGCAAUAUUUCCCCAAAAAGAUUUGCUUUUAGAUCCAUAUCAUAUGCAUCAUGAGGUCUCUUAGGGACCAAAAUUUGUUUCUAUAUGUUUCUAUUUAAGCCUUUUCUACUGAGUCGAUACAAAGAUUUUAACCUUCACCUCCUCAAUUAGAAUGUCCUUAAAUAGGGGAAGCUGUAAGACCCCAAUUUUGACCUUAAGAUCCCUCAUGCAAUCUCAUCAUAUGCAUUAGCGUUG
rnacentral:lncRNA from 1 species